AGAACGAACGCUGGCGGCAUGCUUAAUACAUGCAAGUCGAACGAAGGCUUCGGCCUUAGUGGCGCACGGGUGCGUAACGCGUGGGAAUCUGCCCCUUGGUUCGGAAUAACAGUUGGAAACGACUGCUAAUACCGGAUGAUGACGAAAGUCCAAAGAUUUAUCGCCAAGGGAUGAGCCCGCGUAGGAUUAGCUAGUUGGUGAGGUAAAGGCUCACCAAGGCGACGAUCCUUAGCUGGUCUGAGAGGAUGAUCAGCCACACUGGGACUGAGACACGGCCCAGACUCCUACGGGAGGCAGCAGUAGGGAAUAUUGGACAAUGGGCGAAAGCCUGAUCCAGCAAUGCCGCGUGAGUGAUGAAGGCCUUAGGUUGUAAAGCUCUUUUACCCGAGAUGAUAAUGACAGUAUCGGAGAAUAAGCCCCGGCUAACUCCGUGCCAGCAGCCGC
rnacentral:rRNA from 1 species